rnacentral:rRNA from 1 species
CAAGUCGAACGGUAACAGGAAUCAGCUUGCUGAUUUGCUGACGAGUGGCGGACGGGUGAGUAAUGUCUGGGAAACUGCCUGAUGGAGGGGGAUAACUACUGGAAACGGUAGCUAAUACCGCAUAACGUCGCAAGACCAAAGAGGGGGACCUUCGGGCCUCUUGCCAUCGGAUGUGCCCAGAUGGGAUUAGCUAGUAGGUGGGGUAACGGCUCACCUAGGCGACGAUCCCUAGCUGGUCUGAGAGGAUGACCAGCCACACUGGAACUGAGACACGGUCCAGACUCCUACGGGAGGCAGCAGUGGGGAAUAUUGCACAAUGGGCGCAAGCCUGAUGCAGCCAUGCCGCGUGUAUGAAGAAGGCCUUCGGGUUGUAAAGUACUUUCAGCGGGGAGGAAGGGAGUAAAGUUAAUACCUUUGCUCAUUGACGUUACCCGCAGAAGAAGCACCGGCUAACUCCGUGCCAGCAGCCGCGGUAAUACGGAGGGUGCAAGCGUUAAUCGGAAUUACUGGGCGUAAAGCGCACGCAGGCGGUUUGUUAAGUCAGAUGUGAAAUCCCCGGGCUCAACCUGGGAACUGCAUCU